UCUUCUGUGUCUGUGCCUCCUUUGGAACCCCCAAGAUGUUAUUUGCCUGCUGCAGAUAGACCCACGCGGGCGACGGUGAGCGCAGCCUCCCUAGCCCCAAGGAAACGGCCUAGAAGAGAAAGGUUUCCAAGAGAAGCUGCACCCAACAAGCGCAGCUCAGGACUGACGUUUAACCUACCAGAGGCUCCCGAGGGGACCACGAAGUGCACGUAUGGCCCUUGCUGAAAGACAAUAAAUGAAGAAAUGAUUCCAGAAUAACGGUAUGGCUGGGAAGAAACAGGUUCAUUCCUAUAUUCAGGUUCAACCCGCAUUGGCUGAGCACAUACUACGGACCAGACAUGGCUGCUUAUCAUCACGCGCACCUUCACUCCUCUAUCUCACCAAAAGUUCAAGUUGGCAGGCGCUGUGCCCAUUUUGUUGGAUGGGCAAACCAAGGCCCUGGAUUUGAGAGCUUUGCCCAA
rnacentral:lncRNA from 10 species